AGAUAAGGGAAGCAGGCCUCCGAAGCCAGCAGUGGCAACCCACUUGGGUCCCUUUCAAUGCUGUGGAAGCGUUGUUCUUUCACUCUUCUCAAUAAAUCUUGCUGCUGCUCACUCUUUGGGUCUGCCCCGCUGUUAUGAGCUGUAACACUCACAGCCAGUGUCUGCAGUUUCACUCCUGAAGCCAGCAAGACCACAAACCCACAGGGCGGGACAAACAACUCCGGACAGGAGGAAUGAACAACUCUGGACGCGCCACUUCUAUGAACUUUUAUGAACUGUAACACUCACCGCAAAGGUCUGCAGCUUCACCCCUGAGGCCAGGGAGACCACGAACCCACCGGAAGGAAUGAACAACUCCAGACGCACUGCCUUUAAGAGCUGUAACACUUACCACGGAUGUCUGCAGCUUCACUCCUGAAGUCAGCGAGACCACAAACCCAACAGAAGGAAGAAACUCCCGACACAUCUGAACAUCUGAAGGAACAAACUCUGGACACACCAUCUUUAAGAACUGUAACACUCACCGUGAGGGUCAACCGCUUCAUUCUUGAAGUCAGCCAGACCAAGAACCCACCAAUUCCGAGUCUCACUUUGUUGCCUAAGCUAGAGUGCAGCGUCGUGAUCAAGGCUCACUGCAGCCUCAACAUCCUGAUCCCCAGUGUUCCUCCCACCUCAACCUCCCAAGUAGCUGGGACCACAGAUGAAUGCCAGAUGCCUCUAGUGAGCCACCUUGAAUCACUAUUCUGAAUACAUCUUGAGUAAAAAGAGAAAAUUGCUCAUGUUUCCAUGUCUAUCUGAAUCAUGUUAUUGGACCAUGAGAGCAAGCAGCUGGAUCUCAUUCUGUCCAGGGUUUCAUCAUUUUUGGCCAUGCUGGCCUUGAACGCCUAACCUCAAAUGAUCCACCUGCCUUGGCCUCCUGAAGUUCUGGGAGUUAUAGGCAUGAGUCACCAUGCCUGGCACCACAUAAAAUUAUUUUGUCAUUAACAUUACAUUUUAAAAUACAAACGCUGUUUUCCAUAUUACUCAGGUCAGAUCUUUUACCCCACUUCUCUCAGUGAGAUUGCAUUAUUUAUUUCCAUCUCUAUAAUCUACUGUUCAUCCAUCUAUCUAUCCAUCCCUCAAUUUAGUUUUUUCACUACAUUCUGCAUUUGAUUCUUUUGAGGGUGUAUGCUUGUGUUUGUGCGUGGAAGUGGGGGUGUGUGUGUGUGUGUGUGUUCAAAAAGGUCUACAGUUUCCUUUUUCUGUAAUAUCUGUGUCUGCUGUUGGUAUUAGGGUAAUGCUGAACUCAUAGAGUAUGUGAAAAGUUUUCUACAUUCUUUGAUUUUUCUGAAAGAAAUUGUGCAGAAUUCAUAUUAUUUCUUUCUUAAAUGCUCAAGUGUUUAUUAAAAUUUACCAGUAAAAUAU
rnacentral:lncRNA from 1 species